rnacentral:rRNA from 1 species
UACGUAGGGUCCAUGCGUUAUCCGGAAUCACUGGGCGUAAAGCGUGCGUAGGUUGUAAUUUGCGUGCAACGCGAAAUUGUGUGGCUCAACCAUACAACGUUGUUGCAUACGGGAUUACUAGAGGACAUAAGAGGCAAGUGGAAUUACUGGUGUAGCAGUGAAAUGCGUAGAUAUCAGUAGGAGCACCAAUGGCGAAGGCAGCUUGCGGGCAUGUAUCUGACGCUAAGGCACGAAAGCGUGGGGAGCGAACAGG